UCCAUGGGAGGUGUGCUGAGGGAUGCCCUAUGGCACGGCCAUCCAUGGGAGGUGUGCUGAGGGAUGCCCCAUGGCACGGCUGUCCAUGGGUGGUGUGCUGAGGGAUGCCCUAUGGCACGGCCGUCCAUGGGAGGUGUGCUGAGGGAUGCCCCAUGGCACGGCCAUCCAUGGGAGGUGUGCUGAGGGAUGCCCCAUGGCACGGCCAUCCAUGGGAGGUGUGCUGAGGGAUGCCCCAUGGCACGGCCAUCCAUGGGAGGUGUGCUGAGGGAUGCCCCAUGGCACGGCCAUCCAUGGGAGGUGUGCUGAGGGAUGCCCUAUGGCACGGCCAUCCAUGGGAGGUGUGCUGAGGGAUGCCCCAUGGCACGGCCGUCCAUGGGAGGUGUGCUGAGGGAUGCCCCGUGGGCCGUGGGUCCGGCGGUGCUGUGGGGCUGGCAGUGUGGGCUGUGUCAGGGGCUGAGCUCUGGGCUGGGGCCUUCUGCCUUUGUUUUAUGAAUGGACAAAUUGCCGCAGCAGCUCCCCUUGCACGGCCUGUUGUUUUUUCUCUUUCCUUCAAAGCCGCGCUCUCGCAGGCAGCACUGAGGUGGAAAUCUCUGGAUUGUUUCCUAGCGUUGUAGCUGAGGACUUGGAACUCAGGUCUUGCAGGACUUCCUUUUGUGUCAGGAAGGGCAAGAUAAAUGUGGGUAUUUCUUUGGAUAGUGACUUUUGUUUCAAGCCUGGAAGGGACUUAGCCCUAAGUGGACGUUAUCCUGCAAAUGGGUUGUUUUUCUUCUCCAGCGACACUUAAUGAGAUAAUGUCAGGUGGAAGACUUGCUUAAAGUGAAGGAAAACGCUGUUUGCUGUUAUGCAGGGGGUAAAAGAAAGUCUCGAGAACAUCGAACUGAUCGUUUUUUGCUCUUUUUUUGUGCAGUGUAGAGAAUGAACCGUUUUUUUUUUUUAAUUUUAUUUUUAGUUUUCCCUGUUCUGAAUCUCAGGGGAUUAAAAAAUAAUAAUAAAAAUUACGGUGGAGUGAUGCACAGGGAAGAACUUGGAGAGGCCUGAAUUAACUACGAAUGGCAAGAGAGUGGCAUUGAAAAAAAAGAGAGGUUUUGUUUUUAAAAGGUGUCUUUUGGAAGCCGGGAUGCUGUGUGCGGUUGUGUGAGGACGCUGCCUGACCCCUCUGCUUUGGCUCCAAGUGUGCACAGGGACACAGCGACGCAGAGAGCAGAAAGGACCUUGCUGGUGGGAUAGGGGACACCUGUGGUGGUUGCCUGAAGGUGCCAAAAGGCCUAACUGUGUCUUUCGCUUUGUGGUUCCAGUCGUGGCUUUGAGCUGCUGGGUUUGAAGCAGACAGAUCCUUCUGAUUCUCUGGUUUAGGUACUGUUGUUCUGCAGGAGGGAGGAGGUUUUGUAAGAGGUCGAGGUGUGGUGAGGCGGUGGGCUGGAUUCCUCCUUCAGCUUCAGCAAAGCAGGGAAGGGAGGGCGCUCCCAGGACGGAAGCGCGAUGUCAGAUUCCUUUGCUGAAACGGAGGAGCGCUUGAAAUGCAUUUUGGAAGUGAGCUGCCCCAGUUCUGCCCCAUACGUCGGCUCUGGAAGUAUGUGUCAGGGUUUGGAAUACUCAUGGGAUGGUACUUCUGUUACUUACAGUCUGAUUGUGAACGGAAGGAAAUCAGCUGUCCUGUCUGCAGGGCGUGAGGCAGGCAGCACCCUGCAAGACAGACUGAGCUGCAAGGAGGGCACCUUUCUGUAUGGGGGAGAUGUGGUUCCUUUGUUCUUUCCAGUGCGGGGCUCUCACUCUUUGUCCACGUAGGUCUUUGAUAUUUUCAUGCAGUUCUCCAUCCUGGUUAGGCUGUGAGCAUCCCUUUGAGAACCUGCUGCUCCUCCAUUGCGUUGCGUUUCUCGUGACCCAUGAACAUCCAAGGCCCUGCUCAGAACAGGUAAUUUUUUUAUUUCUUUUCUCCAAGUGGUCGCCCUGCGCAGAAACCAAAAUGACUUAAAUCCUUUUUCCAUGUGGGUCGGCUUGUCCCCGUGCCAGCAGCACUGCUGCUCCAACCCAAUCCCUGGACCUUACACCAGGCACUGUGCAUCGACGUGGGGACACGUCCCCUGAGUGUGAGUGGUUGGGCACAUGUGUGUGUCCCUGGCCACUGUCUCUCUGGAGAGCAGAGAGCAGGAGCAAGACAAGGAGUGCGAAGGAAAUCCUCUUCCUCCUCAGCAUGGAGUUUGUCAAGAUUGCCGUUGUUUUCGUUACAUUUUCUUCAAACAUUUGGACAGAAGCAACCAGGAAGGAAAAAUACCUUUGUUUUUAUGUGUUUGUCUGAGAAGAGUCUCGUUUGCUGCGUUUUUGUAAUUGUUUGCUUCCCCCCAACCUGUUGUGGGCAGAAUUUCCCCGGAAUCAAAGUUGGGUUCCCCGUUUUUAGAGUAGGCUGCGAAAAACAGCGCUGAGAGAUUUCCUGUUUUGGCUAAGGGGAUUUAUUGUUGUUAAAAUGCAAAGUAAAAGUUUUGACAAGUUGUAUGCAAGAAAAGUGUAGAUGCAAGGAAAAUCCUAAUGGUAACGUGAUCUGAGCUGCUGCAUCACGGCAACUGACCAAGCCCAGAAGGAAGAGAAGGAGCCCUUCCAGGAGCUUCAGAGUGCGGUGUAGAACCACGGAGACACCCAGCCAGGGUUGGGCAUCACAGAAGUGCAUGGAAAGGAAACAGAGAGAGGAUGGGCAGGGAGGAGCCUGAUGUUAUGCAGUUGUGGGUGGUCUGGGGAGCAAGGAAUGAUGAACCUUGUUUUUGGAUAGGGAAGGAACUGAAUGGGGACGUGGCUGAAGGUCAGAUGGAUGACGUGACCAGAAGGGUGGGUAUUGCUGGAGGCGGUGUGAUGGUCUGGCUUCAUGGGUUGAUGAGGAGCGGAAAAAAAAAGCAACCAAAACAAGGAAGCCUCUCUGAAUCCCCCAAAGAGAGAGUGGAAAUGGAGAGAAGAGCAGAAAUGAAGUAAAAAAAGGAGCAGGACGUUGUUUGAGGCUUAUUUCUGUAAAGAUGUGGCAGAGAAAUGACAAGGAAGAGGUUAAAAAAAUAAAGUGUUUAUGAAAUAUUGUUCACAUUAGAAGAGUAGGAAAGGAUUGUAGGUUGGGCUUGGGAAGGGCAGAAACGGGAGAGGAAGGAUGGAGCUGCUCCAUCUUCUGCUGGGCUGCGGAGUGGUGCAGGGUGAGCGCCCACGGUGGCAGCGUGUUGAGCUCAGGCCUCGUUCUUUGGACGUGUGUCUUCUGCUGGGUUUCAGUGGGGUGACAUUGAAAAAGAAUGGGAAGUGCCUCUCUGGCUGGUAUUUCCCUUCUCGUGUUGCGCUCUAGAUGCAUGGAGCUGGUUCUCAGGAAGAAGAACGCCUGCAUCAUGGGCUGCUGUUGGCUUGAGGUUCUCCUGGCCUCCCUGAUGCUGCGUGCCCAUGGCUGGCACGAGCCUGGAGGAGAGCAGCGGUAGUCGUGCAGUCACUGCUCCGCUUUAGGUGUGCUGUGAUUGCUUCUCUUGCGACUGUGUGUCAUUCAUUUUCGAUUUAAAUAUCUAAUGGCUCUCAUCAAACAACAUUUAAACUUUCUAUGAAAUCCUGCAAAUGUUCCUUUAGAUCAUAUUAUAAGCAACAAUGGCUGAAAUGAGGCUGAAUGGGAGGGCUGUGUUUCAGUCUCGGGGGUUCUGCAGCUGGUGGUGAUGACAGUGGAACACUUCAAUUGAACUGCAGCCUGGUAUUCAGCAGCUCUCUGCCCAUUAAGCGACGUAUAAAAACAGUAUAAAUGGUCCUGCACAUUUCCUUUUCCACACUAUUUUCAUCUUAGUCACUGGAGUGUUUCUGUAGAAAAUAAUUUAUUUACUGGGACGCUAACAAGGAAUGUUUUGGUCACUGCAAGCACCAGAUGUGGGGCCGGGGUUGUGGCGCGAGCAAACUUAGCUCAACAAGGGAGCCUUUAUGCAUUGAGGAGGAUCCCACGUGACAGCAGACCUGGCCGUGGCACGGAGCCGCAGUGCAGAGCGGGGUGCCCCCGCCGAGAGUUAUUAGGUUAUUAGGGCUUGUUUGUUUGUUUGGGUACUGCUGCAUCGGCACUGGGGCUGUGGAUGCGCGAGGAGGCGUGCUCCGUCGCCCAAGGAUAUUGCGGGGCAGUGUGGGCAGAUGUCACAGUGAGCAAAGAAAUCAAGCCGUGGGGGUUGGAGAGCGGAGAUGGGGUAGCACAGGGGGAGCUGGGGAAGGGCUGCUGGGAAGAAAUAGGUUUAUUAUUGAGAGUGCUGUUAUGCAGAAGCUGAGUUUUGAAUAUUGCUGGAGUCCCACCGUGAGGGACGUUCUGGGCGAUGGCAGUCGCGUUUGUGGCCGUCAGUGAUCUCACUUCCUUACCCGACUGCUGGAUUUCUGUCCCCUUCCGGAAAGGAAUUCACUCACCCGCUGUAGCCACUGUCAUUCAGCAGAGCAAAACAAAGGAAGGGGAUCCAGGGCAGUGCCAUGCGCCAUGCGUUGCCUCCAGAGCUGCUCAGGGGUCCAGAGCCAUGGCAAGCAAAGUGGUGCCAGGCUGGGAGUACUGAGCUGAGAAGAGGGAGCACUGCUGCGUGGUGAGAGCGCGGGGCUUGGGGUCAGUGGGAGCCAGAGGAGGCAGGAAUAAGGGGAAAGUGCGUGUGGAGAGUGCAGAGCUGCUGCCUGCCCCUUCCUGAAGGGUGAAAACAGAGGGCUUGUAUUGUCAUCCUUUACUGCUUAUGAAACGUUCUUCCCAGCCUUGUGUAAUCUGAUGAAUGCUCUGUACAAAACCCAGCUCGGGGUGCAGGGCUUAGGGAGUGAUACUAUAACUUGAGACACCUUUAUCUCAUGGCCGUGGACUGUCAUGGGAAUGUAAUGCAAGUCAGUAAGAAUAAAGCUGAGGGAUGCACGGAUUCCGAGUCAAUGUGAAAGUGGCUCAUGGCUUCGCUGCUCCUGACAAGCAUUCGGUGUGGUCCUUGUAGCAUCUUAUGGGCAGCCUUUUCCUCUUCCUUUGGCAGACAGGGGCAGCUGUUGUGGUUUGCAGAGCGGUUGGUUGUGAAUGCACAGAGCUGUGCGCUCCGUGGUUUGGGUGGAAGGGCUCAGAGCUCUGCCGGGUGCUGGGGCUGCCCGUCCUUCCUCCUCAGCUCUGACAGAUGGAAUCAUAGAAUCACAGCAUGGCCUGGGUUGCAAAGGAGCAUACUGCUCUUCCAGUUCCAACCCCCUGCUGUGUGCAGGUCGCCAACAGCAGCCCAGGCUGCCCAGAGCCACAUCCAGCCUGGCCUUGAAUGCCUGCAGGGAUGGGGCAUCCACAGCCUCCUUGGGCAACCUGUGCCAGUGCCUCACCACCCUCUGGCUGAAAAUCUUCCUCCUGAUACCCAACCGAAGCCUCCCCUCCUCAGUUUAAAACCAUUCCCCCUUGUCCUGUCAAGCACUCACUGGGAGUUGACAUCCUUAAAGGAAAAAAAACCAACAAACACCCUGAAAGCAUGAAAAGUUAUCGUAGUGCGAAAUCUAUUUUUGAAAGUAAGGCUGUUAAUGUGAAAAUGGUGCUGUUGUGGUGCAGUGAAUGAUAAAGGCGAGAUUAUUAAGUCUCUGAAAAUUGCUAAUUUAUUAUUUUUCUCACCUAAUUUUGAUUUAUGAUGCAUGAUUAUAGUGACACACGUCUUCAAAAAAACAAGUGAAUUGCUGAGAAAUUAUUUGCAUAUUUCUGAAUUUUUUUUUGCUAGACUUUUUAUUCAACAUUUGCCAAAAAAUAAUAAUAAAAAAAAAAAAAACAAACCCACCCCUCCGGUUCUCUGCUUUCAUUUGAAACCUUCGGAGCUCAAAGAAGACGGCGAGGAGUUCAGUUUCCGUAGCUUCCCUCUACAUGCAAAAGGUGCCUUUAACUUAUGCAUAGUAAGGAUGCUUCCCUUGGUUUGGCUGCUAAGUUUACUCCCAUGGGGAGCGUAUUUGUGUUCGUGUAACCGCACGCUGCAUAUUGAGAGCUCCACCACUUUGGUUUGUGGGAAGAUUUAACUCCGUAUUAACAGCCACAGAUGGAUGGUUAAGGGAGCACUGAGCACAGGAUCUCGCUGCAUUUUGUCCUUGGGAAGGCGAUGCGCUGCAGUGAGGCUGGGCUGCAGCUCUGCAGGCCCUCCUGUGAGCUGUGUCAGUGGGACUGGUUUGGGUUCCUUUGCGUGGGGUUGCUGCCAGGCGCUGCUGGGCAGCGCUGGGGUCGGCAGCAGCAGCGGCUCUGGGGCAUGGGCUGCCCAGUGCCAGUGGGAGCACAUCUUGCAGAGAGGCUUUAUGGACCAGUUUUUGAAGGGUUGGGUUUGGGAAGCAUCCCGCCAGUGGCUGCGUGCAGCUGGGGCAGGCAGGUGCCCGUCUGUCUGGAAAUGGUCGGUGUGAAACGACAGACUCGCGCCUGCGUGCCGUGGAUGGGUGCUGUCUUGGUGGACGUGCUUUGGGCAGCACGUGGGGACCCGCGGUUCUCUGCUCCUCUCCCAGUGGUGGGGAGGCUGGGGGGAUGGGGGGGAAUCUGCAGCCCAUUGCUGGGGUGCUGCCCUGCCCCGUCCUGCCCAGACGUUGCUCCUGCUGCCGGCAGCUGCUGGAACACCUCCAGGCUUAACCAGAGCCUGCGUUAGCGUUAGUUUGGUGGCUUUCCAUUCUUUUUCCUUUCCUUUUUUUUUUUUCUUUUCUUGUGUUGCUGCCCACCUAAGCGCACCUUGCUCUUUGUGUGCAGGAGAUAAUUUAAUCGAAGCGUUUGGGGCUGCUCCCAUCCUGCUCGGGCUGUGCAAAGCUCCCGUGAGCCGUGGCUGUGCAGCACCGCGCUCCAGCAGCAGGAUUCAUGCAGGCAUCAGGUGCCUGGCCUUGCAGGCAGGUACCUAAUAGGAUUGUGAGAAACCAUUGCUGGGAGGCAGGUAUCGAGGCACUUGUGAAAAUCCCGCUAAGCACCCCUCUGCACCUUUAAAUGCCCUUCAGCUCUGAAAGCCGAAUCUGAAAAGAAAACAAAUGAAAUCAGUGGCAAAACUGACCUUAGCAUGCGAGCAAUAAAGCAGCUGAGUGGAGGGGAAACUACGAUUGCUUGGAUUUUGAUUCAUACACAAAACAAGCUUGAGACUUGUUAAUUUUUGCUUAAGUGCCAUGGCAACAUACAUAUCUGUUCUGCAGCUUAUGAAAUGUAUUUUUGGAACUACUGACUCACACACUUGCAUAUUUCUGCUGUAGUAGGAGAAUGUGUUUCCUUUUGCUUUCGUGCAGCUCUGCAGCUUGAAAUCAGAGCAGUUCCCUCCUGCCAGUGUCUUGUGGUGGGCACAGGGCGUUUCUUGCAUGGGCACAGAGCACGGGCCUUUGUCUCCAAGUCUGAACAGGGUGCACCUGGGACUGGCAGCAGGGCAUUUUGCACUGCAUCUUAGUGCGUCUGUGCUUCAUUCAGCAGUGAUGCUGUGGUCUUGGUGCAGGACUUAACUUGUGUGGCUGCAUGGAAUGGGAGGCGAGCUCCACUGUUGUGCACACAAGUGAUGGCACUUAGUUUUUGGUAGCAGCAGUGGCUGCCCACCUCACAGGUUUUUGAAAUGAGUCGUGGAGUGCUUUGCAUUGUGCAAAGUGCAGCGCACUAUGCAAAUUACUUGUUGUUAUUUCUCCUCUGAGUGGUAAAUACAUGCAUGCCCUGUCAUUUAGAGCCCAAUCAGAACCCAAUUACAGAUAUUUUAUC